GCGGUUUUGUUAAGUUCUGAUGUGAAAGCCCACGGCUCAACCGUGGAGGGUCAUUGGAAACUGGGAGACUUGAGUGCAAAAGAGGAGAGUGGAAUUCCACGUGUAGCGGUGAAAUGCGUAGAGAUGUGGAGGAACACCAGUGGCGAAGGCGACUCUCUGGUCUGUAACUGACGCUGAGGCGCGAAAGCGUGGGGAGCAAACAGGAUUAGAUACCCUGGUAGUCCACGCCGUAAACGAUGAGUGCUAAGUGUUAGAGGGUUUCCGCCCUUUAGUGCUGCAGCUAACGCAUUAAGCACUCCGCCUGGGGAGUACGGUCGCAAGACUGAAACUCAAAGGAAUUGACGGGGGCCCGCACAAGCGGUGGAGCAUGUGGUUUAAUUCAAAGCAACGCGAAAAACCUUACCAGGUCUUGACAUCCUCUGCCACCUCUAGAGAUAGAGCGUUCCCCUUCGGGGGACAGAGUGACAGGUGGUGCAUGGUUGUCGUCAGCUCGUGUCGUGAGAUGUUGGGUUAAGUCCCGCAACGAGCGCAACCCUUGUUCUUAGUUGCCAGCAUUCAGUUGGGCACUCUAAGGAGACUGCCGGUGACAAACCCCGGAGGAAGGUGGGGAUGACGUCAAAUCAUCAUGCCCCUUAUGACCUGGGCUACACACGUGCUACAAUGGACGGUACAAAGGGCAGCAAAACCGCGAGGUCGAGCCAAUCCCAUAAAACCGUUCUCAGUUCGGAUUGUACGCUGCAACUCGCCUACAUGAAGCCGGAAUCGCUAGUAAUCGCGGAUCAGCAUGCCGCGGUGAAUACGUUCUCGGGCCUUGUACACACCGCCCGUCACACCACGAGAGUUUGUAUCACCCGAAGUCUGUGGGGUAACCUUUUGGAGCCAGCCGCCUAAAGUGGGACAG
rnacentral:rRNA from 2 species